rnacentral:rRNA from 9 species
GACUGCGGAGGAUCAUUA